GCAGAGACUACCCCUCGUACCUUUUGCAUCAUGGUUCAGCAAGUUUACUCAAGCAAAGAGAACUCUAGUUUGCACCCCCGAAACUUGACGAGCUACUCCGAGACAGCCAACUAUGGGCUAACCCGUCUCUGUGGCAAAAGAGUGGGGAGAUCUCCGAGUAGGGGCAAAAAACCUACCGAGCCAAGUUAUAGCUGGUUGCCCAAUAAAUGAAUAAAAGUUCAGCCCCGCCUAGCCCAACUCAAAUUAGUUCCACUAUGAAAGACAAAGAGCUUACCCGCGGGAGUUAAUCAGAGGAGGUACAGCUCCCCUGAUGCAGGAUACAACCUUUUUAGGAGACAAAAGAAUAUUACCCAAUAAGGCCCUGGGCCUCAGUGGGCCUGAAAGCAGCCACCUGAUCCGAAAGCGUUAAAGCUCCGGCCAUAAAAAAGCCUUUCAUUUAAUUUAAACAUCUAUUCCCCUAAAUAUCAUUGGGCCUCCCCAUGCAUUCAUGGGAGAGACUAUGCUGAAACGAGUAACAAGAAGAAUGAACUUCUCCGCGCACAAGUGUAUGUCAAAUUGGACCAACCACCGACAAUCAACGAACCCAAUAAAAGAGGGCCCCGCACACUCGCCACCUCUGGCCAAGAAAACCAUGCUAUUUAGGAUCGUUACCCCAACACAGGAGUGCUAAAAUAAGGAAAGACUAAAAGGAAGAAAAGGAACUCGGCAAACCUAGACCUCGCCUGUUUACCAAAAACAUCGCCUCUUGCACCACAAAGUAUAAGAGGUCCCACCU
rnacentral:rRNA from 1 species